UGUAAAUUUUAAUUCAGUGUUGAGUAAAGCCUUAUCUUGAAAGGUUGUUCUUUGGUGUUUACUUGAAUUCAAACUUCUACUUCACACACAUAUACGUAUAAUUGCUCCUUCCCAAAACGAGCCAAAUUAUGUAAAUAGAAAAGGAUACCACAGCAUAAAUGUUCAAGUCAUUUGUGAUGACAAAGGCAAAUUUAUCAAUGUGGUAGCACGAUGGCCAGGAUCAUGUCAUGAUUCAUUCAUCUUCCGGUCCUCUACCACUGGUAGAAGGUUGGAAGAAAUGGAUCAUGCAGCAAAUAAUGAUGUACUGUUGGGGGACAGUGGAUAUGCCUUACGGUCAUUUUUGAUGACUCCAUACCUCCAUCCAGUGCAUCCAUGCCAAAAAAAAUUUUAACAAGGCACAUAAAAAAAACAAGGUGUUUGGUUGAAAGAACCAUUGGCAUUUGGAGAAGAAGGUUUGAUGUUUUGCAUUCAGAAAUAAGGUAUCAGUGAGUCUUUAUGAGCCUUAAUACAACAUCAAAUCCUAGCAAGCAUGUUUACUCUAUUUAGGAUGAAACCAGAUAGAGUCUGCACCAUUAUAAUGGCUUGUGCAGUAUUCUUUGUUUGCAAUAGACGUCACUUCCCGUAUUUCCACUGUCAUCAAUUAUUCAUAUUUCCAGCUGAAGGGCAGGUAAAUAGAUAAUAUCAUAAGCGUGAUUGCCCUUCAUGUGUUCUUUAUUCAAAUAUGCUGGAUUGCUGUUCAGUUUUUACUUGCUCUAAUCGAGCUAAUCGAGAAAAGGAUAAAGGCUAUUAUAGGAUACCGAAAGGAAUUCUC